rnacentral:rRNA from 1 species
AUGAUAUAUCAGUUCAGGGGUGGUCUCCGUGAAGAAAUUCAACUCGCUCUUGUCCUCUUCGAGCCGUUGAGAUACGAUGAGUUCUACAACAUGGCACUGAAGCAAGAGGCUGCUCAGUUGAGGUGUGAUGCUUCCAGGAAGCGAGUCAGAGAUGCUACUCCUUCUUCCUCUACUCAAGUGGCUAAGCAGCAGAAGUAUUGGCUUCCUCCUCCUCCGUUCCGUCAGCCGUAUCAGCAGAAGAGCAAAGGUGGCAGUGGUUCUUCCCACCCACCCAACCCUGGCUUUCAGAACAAGUCUUCAUCUCAACCUCCAAGAUCGAGUGCUCCGUACCACUGUCCGCUUUCAGAGGUCACGUGCAACAAGUGCCAAGAAAAGGGUCACUAUGCCAACAAGUGUUUCAACCAGAGGCGUCUUCCUCCUCCUCCUCCUGUGAGAUCGGCAAGUAUAGCUGUGGUCAAGCAUAAUCCCAAGUACGCCAAGGUCAAUAUGGUGAAUGCAGCUCAGGCAGAGGAUUCUUCAGAUGUCAUCAUGGGUAACCUUCCUAUUAACGAUAUUCCUGCAAGAGUUCUUUUUGAUACUGGUGCAUCGCAUUGUUUCAUCUCGAGACCUUUUGCUUCCAAGCAUGAUUUUGUUACUCAAGUGCUGUCGAAACCGUUGGCUAUUGUUUCUCCGGCCCGUCAAAUGACA